rnacentral:rRNA from 1 species
AUUGAACGCUGGCGGCAGGCCUAACACAUGCAAGUCGAACGAGUGGCGGACGGGUGAGUAAUGUCUGGGAAACUGCCUGAUGGAGGGGGAUAACUACUGGAAACGGUAGCUAAUACCGCAUACCAUCAGAUGUGCCCAGAUGGGAUUAGCUAGUAGGUGGGGUAACGGCCAACCUAGGCGACGAUCCCUAGCUGGUCUGAGAGGAUGACCAGCAACACUGGAACGGAGACACUGUCCAUACUCCUACGGGAGGCAGCAGUGGGGAAUAUUGCACAAUGGGCGCAAGCCUGAUGCAGCCAUGCCGCGUGUAUGAAGAAGGCCUUCGGGUUGUAAAGUACUUUCAGCGGGGAGGCGUUACCCGCAGAAGAAGCACCGGCUAACUCCGUGCCAGCAGCCGCGGUAAUAC